rnacentral:tRNA from 1 species
GAGUUUGAACUCAAGCUUGGGCAGUAGGAUCUGAGCUUCCCAAGCUCAAUGCCCGGGUUCAAAUCCCGGCGGCCGCA